CUUAAUUUAGAGAGAGCCUCAAAGGUGCGCUCGGUGACUGCAGCGCUACCGUCACACGGAUGGAUGGACUAAUUCUACCCUCCAUGACUGUCACAAGAUGGUUCGAAACUGAGCAGGGAAAAGGAAGAAAUCAAGAGCGGUCGUCUUUGCGUGGAACCUCCUGACGACCCAGAGCAGAGUCUGUGGCUUAAAAGAGUUCUGCUGCCCUUGACUUCUGGGAAAAUGAAAAGAUAUUCUCGCUGGCCAGACUUUGUUCCACAUGAAUGAAAUACCAGAUUUGGUUCAGUGAGCAGUCAACCCUACAGGACUUCAUAGUGGAUCCAGGUAUGAGGCCGGCUCACUGGCAGCUAUUUGGAAAUCACCAACAUCAAUGUAUGAGGCAUAUGGCUAGGCUCUGUAGGUUCUCACCUAGUUCCUCCGGCUUCUGGUUUUCUCUUGUAAAGUUCAAGUCUCCAAAAAGCCAGGUGAGGCCAACAAUAGAGCCUUCUUUGCUUAGUCCAGAAUUCCACCAAACUCCUUCAUAUUAGGCAAGCCAUGCAUCGUAAGAGAUGAUAAUUUGACACAUAGUUGGUCUUAUGGGUGUUCUACUUACGUCUAUUUUGUUUCUGUCUGGAUAAACUCAGAUACACGGAAAACAUCUUGAGUCUCAUAGUGGUUUGAAUGAUGUCCCCUGUAGGCUCAUGCAUUUGAACAUUUGGUCCCCAGCUGGCGGUUUGGGGAGGUUUAGGAGGUGUGGCCUCCCUGAAGGAAGUGCGUCACUAGGGAUGAGCCUUGAGAGCUUAGAGACUCCAGCCAUUUCCAGUUGCCCCCUUUCUGCGUCAUGCUCGUGGUUCGAAAUGCGAGCUCUCAGCCUGCUGUCUCCAGCCCUCAGGCCUGCUUAUGCUACCUACUGCCGCGCUGCCCCAGAUGCUGCGGCGGUUUGGGUAAGAAUGACACCCAUAGACUCAGAUGUUUGAAUACUUGGUCCACGUUGGUGGAACUUUUUGGGGAGGAUCAGAAGGUGUGGCCUUGUUGGAGUGCCUUGUUGGUGUGCCACUGAGGGCAGACUUAGUGGUUUCAAAAGACUGAUAUCAUUCCAGUUUGUCCUACUUACAGAUCAAGAUUUGAGCUCUCAGCUGUUUCUGCCACCAUGCCCUUGCUACACCAUCAUGAUGAACUCCUACCCGUUAGAACAAAGUCAAAGAAGCUUCCAUUAGCCGGGCAGUGGUGGCGCACGCCUUUGAUCCCAGCACUCGGGAGGCAGAGCCAGGCGGAUCUCUGUGAGUUCGAGGCCAGCCUGGUCUACAUAGUGAGAUCCAGGACAGGCACCAAAACAACACAGAGAAACCCUGUCUUGAACCCACAUCCCCCCCAAAAAAUUACAUUUAUGUGUUUUGUGUGUGUGCAUGUGAGUGCGUGCGUGAGUGCGUGCGUGCGUGCGUGUGUGUGUGUGUGUGUUUGUGUGUCUGUGCAUGCUCAUAGCACAUGGGAAGUUAAAGGACAAUCUGUGGAGUUGGUUCUAUCCUUCCCCUGUGGGACCAGAGGAAUGAGCUUCCAUCAGGCUUGGUGGCAAGUACCUUUACUGUCUUGCUAGACUUGUUUAUUAUUUGCAACAACCAAGCCAAACAGGGCUUGACACUACAGUGCAUGCUUGUAAUUGCCUGGCACUUGGGAGGUAGAGGCAGGAGACUCAGAAGCUCCAGGUUCACCCUUACGUACAUGUCUACUUCAAGGCCAGCCUGUGCUUUAUGAGACCUCGUCUCAAAACCAAAGCCAAGAACAAAACAAAUGGCGUUGGGGAAUACAGCAGGGAAUGUUUUAUUUACUGUUGAAGAUUUGUGACAUUAACUCUUUGAACACCAUAGUCAUUGCUAAUCUUUUGCCCUUUUCACCAAACUUACAGGGUUUUACAUUAUUUAUGAAAUAAAAUUUAUUGAGUUUUCCCUCUUUCUGUUUCCGGCCUUUGACUCAUAGUCAGAUAGACCGCCAUUUCUCCUGAAAUGGCAAUGAAAGUCUCUGUUUUUCCUCUAUACUUUUACAUCCCAAUCUUCACAUGUAAGUUUUUGAUCCCUCUGGAGUUUACACAGCACGAGGAAGGACUCUAGGAUGAGUUUAUUUCUUCCAAAUAGCUAGCUAGGUUUCCCAAGAACAUCCUUGAAUGAUUCAUCUUAGCCCACUGAUACACAAUUCUCCUUGUCCACAUGCCCUUCUGGGCCCCUGAUGGUCAUUUGCUCAGUUUCUAAGGCAGUGCCAUACAUAUCAGCAUCUCAUUUCUCACUUUUAGAAAUUUCUGGGUUAUUCUUGAAUGCUUGUUCCCUUAGAGGAAUGUAAGGAUUAUUUUUUCAAAGUUUCCAAAAAGAUCCUGUUCGGGUUUUUAUUAGAGCUGUAUAAUUUAUGCCAUUUAUAGCUAAAUAAAUCUAUGGACUAACUUGGGGAGAAUUUUCAUAGUUCUGAGUGUUAUAUGAGAAUCAGACGUGUGUGUGUGUGUGUGUGUGUGUGUGUGUGUGUGUGUGUGUGUGUGGUGUGAAAUGGAUUUUACCUAUUCUUUUGGGGCAUGGGAUUGAGACAAGGUCUCAUGUAGCUCAGUCUGAAUAUAAACUUGAUAUGUAGUUGAGAAUGACUUGAAUCCCUGAUCCUCCUGCCUUCACCUCCUAAGUAAACCCUUGGACUACAGGUGUGUGGUGCCACACCCAACUCAUUAUCUUUUAAUUUGUUUCCUGAAGUUUAUUUCUGGGAAUCUUUUUGGAGUUUGUUGGCUGGCCAUGAGUUCUUAGGUAUGUGCAUGACAAGUUGCUCCCCAGCAUAAAAUGUAAGCUUGGAACUGGAAUGCAAUGGCUUUGGGAUCUACCAAAGGCAGCGUGAGACAUACACACAUGGGCCUUGGGGAAACCGCUUGGUGCUGAGUGGGUCAUCAGACAUAGGAACUGCUUGAAGGCUAAAGUAUCUGUCUCCAAAUCCUCCCAAUGCUGAGAUUCCCAGAAACCUUCACAGAGAGCUCCUAUACUGUGAAAGCCCAUUUGCUGUGACUCUGAGCCCAUCCAGGGGCUGGCUCUGUGCUCCAUUGCUGAAAAGUUAGUGGCAGCCAUAUCACAAUGGGAGGCCUGGCUCCUUCUUCUCUGGUUAAUUAAUGAUCCCCUGGGGCCUUGGGGGUGGGGCUUCAAAAUGGUAAUGGCUUAGAAAAAUGCAUCAGAGGCACAUAGACCACUUGGAGUACCCAGUUAAGAAUGAUUUGCCACAUACAGGAGAGCUUCACAAAGACUUUCACAAACAUGGGCAUUCAGCUCUGCUGAUAGCCCCACAUCCUUAAUGGCAUAAUCACCAACAUAAUCCAUUCAGAAUAAUGGCCUUUUAAUACAGAAACAAUUACUUCAGAUAAUAAAAUAACACUUUAAUUUGCUUGACACCAAGUUUGACCUAUGCGGAUCAUCUGAUGGGGAGGUGAGGGGAAGGGAAAUCGGCUGAGCUCUAAAUACAUUAUAAAGUGAUAACGUACCAUGUACUUCAGGCCUGAGAUGCUUUAAAAGGCUUGGCAGGAAAAGAAAAUGAUAAUCAGAGUAAGUUAUUGCUUUGGAAUUUACAAAAUACUUGGUAAUUUGAGUAUCGACUUCUUCCAGUUUCCUUAGAGAGAGAAAGCUAUGCCUUCGAGUUAAUGCACUUGGAUUAAAUUUGUUCAUUUUGAACACCUACUGUGGGAAGGGAUUUAAGGCAUGCAAUCGCUCAACAAAUUGUUAUUGCAUGAAAACUAAUACUGGGUCCUAGGAGGGAAAUGCAAACAAAAUCCAUUGCUCCGCUACAUUCUCAUAUCUUUAGAGCUAUCUUCUGGUACUUGUAAACUAUUUCUAUUCUGUCUUUAAUAGAACUGUUUUCUUAAGUGUCUUCAAAUUCUUUGGGGAAGUAGGUGAGUUUUAAGUCUUAAAUAAUUAAAAGCUUCCCUAAGUAAAUCUCCUAAGUUGGGAAACGAGACAGCCAUUUACUUACUUAGUUUCAUGGAUUGUUGGUAUAGGCAAGGACUCGUUCUUUGUCAUUUGGAAAGAGAAAAGCUGGGUCCAGGGUUGGGGGGGUAACAUCCAAAGUCUCAUGUGAUGACUGACUUUCAAGUACCAUUGCAGAGCCAACAACUGAAGUCUUGACUGUGAGUUUCUGAUAACUAAUUCUGUCUCUUAUUAUGUUAAAUAUUUCUUAGUACAUAAGAAGGAGACAUAGUCAUCAUUUGUACUUUAGUGAGAAUUAAUUUGUAACAACUUUCCUGCAAUAAGUAAAGGAGAAAAUUGGUAUAUGUUUUGAAAAGAUGAGUACAAACUGCCAGUAAUCUACCUACCAAUCUGUAAUUUGGGACAGUGUGGUUCAUAGUCUUAACACUAGGCUUUGGUGCAUUCGAGGUGAGAUCAUAUUUGUUAUAGAAUAUUGUAUGCUCAUCUUGUUUCCUCUAACAUUUUAGGGUUUUUUUCCCAUUAAAAAUUCUUUGAUACAGACUGCCUUCUAAAUUCAAGUCUCUCUACCCAGUAGUACUGGAUAGUACUCAGCCCUCAGAGAAGUUUCUCAGUGCAGUAUAUCAUGGUUAACUCAGAAACUCACAACCGGUCAAAGUGCAGAGAAGAAAUGUCUGUGGCCUGCUCAGCCACACAUGGGACAUCGAUAUCACAGCCCCUCAUGCCAAGACUCAGGGAUCACUGCAGAAGAGGGAGUGGGAGGACUGUCAGAGCCAGAGGUCAGGGAGGUUGGAGCGAAUCAGUGUCUUAUGGGCAUGAUAGGACCACCGCACUCAUGAGCUCAGGGCAGCUGCACACCCCUGCACAGGAUCAAGCCAGUCUUCAGUCUAGCAUGUAAUGGGGAGGGGUCUGUGAGUCCACCCAUGACUGAGGAGCUAUUGGCAGUUGAUGGGGAAAGGAUCAGUUUUGUUCAAGGAUGUGGCCCUGGCAGUCAGUCAAAUUCCGGUGGAUAUCCCCACACCUAGGAGUAUGUGGACAGACAAACCGGACUUGGGUUCUAAGAAAAGGAAAAAGAAAAAGAAAGGGGAGGACAUGAAGUUGGGAGUGAGUAAGGGUUGGAUCUUGGAGGAGUUAGGGGGAGGAGUGGGGUGAAUAUGAUCAAAGUACAUUGUAUACAUGCAUGAAAUUCUCAAAGAAUUCAUAAAAUAUUAUGUCAAAAUAUUUGAUAUCACCACUUCUCUGGACUGAAUUAUAUCCCCUCCCCAAUUCAUCAGGUGAAACUGUAGCUAGCCCUCCGAACCCCCCUACCCUGCCUUGUCACUGUAUGUGGAGGCAGAGCCUUUAUGGAUGGGAUUAAGGUGUGGAUGGGGUUAAGGUAUGGAUGGGGUUAAGGUAUGGGUGGGGUUAAGGUAU